UUCUUUUCGCCAAACGUGACUCCAGUAUUGGUGUUCCUCAUACUUGCAAUGCAACUCAUGUAAAUUAGCUUCUCUUUGUUUUUCUCCAGAAUCCCUCUUACGCAUUUCACAAGCGAUUCCUACCUGAUUGCUAACCAGCCUUGAGACUUGUUAUCCGUUGGGAGGGGGAAGGCGCACGAAUCACACCAUCUUUCUCUUUUUUCCGGAGAGCCGAUACUAAUCGAUCCUCGCGUGGUUACAUAAGAAGAAAUUCCUGAGGAGGAAAAAUGAAAAUCCCUCCCAGCUGACGCUGUGAGGAUUACGAACAUGGGAAAUUCCAUAGCCGGAAGGUCGUCUGCCAACCAUUCGACUCAGAGAGUACAUGUUGCCAGGACACCGACGGAGUGUCAACGUGCGUUCAUCACAUAGACAACACACUUGCAAACACUCAUGCUGUUUUCCGAGGAAAGCAUGUCAUCGAUUUUGGAGAAACUCAACAAACUGAAAAAGUCGGGAGAUGGAGAAAUUCAAAAGAUGAGUAUGUUAUCGAAGAAUCAAAAAUUUGAUGUUCUGGAUAUUCGCAGAAUUGAGACAAUGUAUGGAGACACUGUCUACGUAGAAUUACUGACAGACAAUGAGACCAAGGUGAAAGUCUACCUUCCGAAUAGAUUCAAGCGACUUUCGGACGAAGACCUGGAAGAGAUGAGACAGUUACCAAACCUCCAAAUGGAGAAGAAGGAUGGAUACCGCAAUGGCAAGAAGUUGGCGUAUCCAGACAUCAUUUUCACUAAUGGGAAGAAAAAGUAACUUCAGAAAUCAUGGUCACCUGUCACUUGUGUGCUCCACAUGAGCGACAGUUCUACGCAACACCGGUAGGACUCCAAAUUCAUCUGGCAAACGUACACCAACUGGAGACACCAUGCAUCCCAUUCUGUGAGACUUUAUGCACACUUCGAAAUUACACAAGACGCUUCGAGCUGCACUUGCAUGACAGAGACGAGGCUGGACAUGAUGUGACAACGUUCUUUCAUCUAUACGGGCAGUAUAUUGGUAGUGUGUUGCGAUACUUUGGUUUCCCAUUACGUUUUUACAUCCUUCUCAAAGCAGAACUUGGACGACAUACAGUGGAUGAUGAUGAGAUACGACUUGAUACACGAUUCGUGCCUUCCAAGAUUACAUGACGAAAUUUUGGAGUGGAUACAGCAGAUUGCACCUCUGGAAAUGAGCGAAGAGAACGAAC